CGCUGGCCCAAUAUCUUCAGAGGGCUGCGCCGGUUUGUUGUUGCGCACUGCUGGCGACCCCGCAGAACCCACCGUAAAUCGUUUUCUAUGUGAAAGGCCGUAACGCAGCUGGCAGCCUGUCAGACUUGAGAAGAUGUGUGAUUUGAAGGAAGAGGGGAACAGUGCAGAGUCUCCAACAUCCUCCGGUCUGUCUAUGAAGAGUGACUGGUCUAUAGAAAAACCUCCAGACUUGAGUAAAGAACCUGGACCCUCAGAAACAAAUUGGAGAGUGGAGCCUUCAGUAUCCAGCUUUCAGUCCACGGUGAGUGACUGCUCCAGACAGUCACCUCCGAACUUCA